GACGGAGGAUGCAAGUGUUAUCCGGAAUCACUGGGCGUAAAGGGCGCGUAGGUGGUGGCUUAAGCGUGCGGUGAAAGCUCGGGGCUCAACUCCGAGUCGGCCGUGCGAACUGGGCUCACUGGAGCAUAGUAGAGGCAGGUGGAAUUCCGGGUGUAGCGGUGGAAUGCGUAGAGAUCCGGAAGAACACCGGUGGCGAAGGCGGCCUGCUGGGCUAUGGCUGACACUGAGGCGCGACAGCGUGGGGAGCAAACAGG
rnacentral:rRNA from 1 species